rnacentral:tRNA from 1 species
GGUUACAGCUCAGUGGUAGAGUGUUUGCCUAGGACAUGUGAGGCACUGAGUUCAAUUCUCAGCACCA